AAGCAACACUUUGUGGAAGAUGAUCAAAACUGUCUGACACAAUUAUAGCUUUCUAUGCUAGCAAAGUCUAGCAUAGACUAUUGCAGUGUUCUCUCUUCUGUGAAACAAACCAUUACAUAGACUCAAUGUUU